ensembl:lncRNA
AUUUUUACGUUGGUAGGAAUGUGCAUUCACGUAGUUAUCUGUGUAAUACCUCCUAAAUUGAUAUGGUAAUAUUUGCAUAUUGAUUUAUGUCCUUGUCUCUGUAACAUUGCAGUUUUACAAAAAGAAAAGUAAAGAGGAAACAGGAUUCCAGUAAAGUGCAAGAAAGGUCAAGUCUUGUGUGUUUCUUGGAAAACGUUUCAAUGUUAACUGGCUGUCGAGCUUUGCACAAGAUAAUGCGCUGCAAGGGCAGCACAGGCAUUGUUACCUCAGCUCCAUGAAACCCAGGAAAAACCCUAGCUAAACCUAGUCAAAACCCUGGCAUAACCCAUGCAUAACCAAAGUGCUCCCUAUCUAACCUGACCUCCGGGGAUUAAUUCCAAAUGACGAGCUAGCCUCAUCUUUACAACACACACAACUCGCUGUAUAGGGGCUGCCAGUCUUCCCCUAGUGGUUGACUCUGAAGACACGCAUCAGCUAGGGACUUGGACGUGUUCCAGACCGUCUCCCAGGUGUAACAGACGGUGUGCCGUGGAAUUAGAUCCGGCUAACGGGAUGACCCUGGAGGAUGAACGUUCACUGACCGACAAACCAGAGUCAAUGUGCCACAGCUAGAGUGCUACAAAGCACAAACACACUCAGGAUAUUUGUUAUACUUGAGCCGGUCAUGUUAUUAUUUGAUCGUGAGGAGAAAUGUGCUCAUGGUUCUCUACUGUGUAAAAGAGGCACUGGGCCACAAAAUAGAGAGGGAAGUAAUAUAGACAAGCCAAUAUAGUAACCAGGCCUGACUAGCAGCUGGUAAAUAAAGGCAAUAAGUGAGAAAUCAUUUUGAAGUGGCCCUGAAUUUCUUUGGAAGGUUCACUUUUUUAUCACAAGUCAGGGAGCGAAAUCUCAUCUGAAACAGAUGUAUUGACUUGCAGACGCAUCUCACACACACACACACACACACACACACACCUUUCCCUUUGUGUGAACCUUUGUGUGCGUGUAGAUGUUGUGUGUGUGUGUAUAUGUGUGUGUGUGUGUGUGUAGCCUAAGCUCCCGGGCCCAGGGGCAAUAAUUGAGAUAGUCGACAGUUUGCUGAAGUGGAAAAUGACUUCUCUUCACCAGCUCAAGUGUUUCCUUACAGGAGGCUAGUUUCUCAAGACCAGCAUCUGACUGUUAUUCCCCUCAGGUCGUGUGUGUGUGAGAGUCUUCCAUGCCGAGUGGUUGGUUCACAAGUUGUAGAUGAAUACCACAAUACAGGCACGUCAAAGCUCUAUGGUGGCCCCUGUGGUACAUAAAGGUCCUCAGCCAAUUAAUUAGCGGUGUGACCUCACCUCACCACCUCAGCCCUGAACUCACCUCGAUCUCGCUGAGCAUGUGGAGAUUAAAUGACUUCAGGCAGAUGUAACCGACAGCAACAGUAAGUAGCCUGUCUAAGGCUCUGUCUGCAUUAAUGUUGCAUCUCCAUAUUCUGUUUGUUAUUAUUAUUUAAUCCCGUCAUGUUCCAGUAUGUCCAAUCGCUUAGGCGCCACGAACACACCCCGAACCCAACCACAUUACUUAGAGUCGCACCCCGAAUGAAUAAAACAUCCUAAUAAUUUCUCUUAAGCAUUUAAGUCAUACAUUAUGGAUGAGGCUUGGAAAAAGUGUGUUUGAAGAGGAGAGGGGAGGAGAAGAAGUGCGAGGGAGAGGGGGAGGCGAGGUGCGAGGGGGUCAAAGCGAGUGAGUGACUGUGCUCCUCUUCACGCUUAUUUAUUUACCAGGAAUAAUCAAUGAAAGAUUGCAGAGAAAUAGCCGAGCAG